UGUGGGUGGGACAGGGAUGUU
rnacentral:miRNA from 1 species